GUCGAUGACGACAGGGCCCUAUUUGCCAACAAUUCACGCUGUAUCCGCGUUAUCUACUAGACUCAAUGACGAUCUACCCCCACCUGUUAGGUUCAUCUCUUAUCCAAUGACGAAACCCCGGUAUCUCGCUUGGGUCUGUUGACCGAGCGAUUCGCUGGGUUCGUAGCCACCGAAUCCUCGCCGCCAAUUUCGUGGAGUUCGGUUGCCUCACCAGUAUAUAUCAUGCGCACCGCACAUGUGUCCCAUCUAUCGAGAGCCUAGGAAGUGAGACGAGCCUGCAGAUUCCGGUGAGGUCAGGCGCCCUGCGCCUGCUGUUGAGGGAGAGCGAGGGACACCCACCGCCACCGUGUGCAUCUGUGUCGUGAGGAGAGAGUGCGGUGGUUCGCCGAACAGCGAAGGAUCCGUGCGCCCCCCCAUAUCUGGCCUUCAUCGCCGAUUUGGAGUCUGCGGGUGGUCGAGGGCGCUCGGCCGAACGUGUGGAGCUCCGUUGUAGAGAGAAGUUGAGGGAUGGAUCGCAGGACUGCUAUGUGCUCGUCGCGGUGGUGAACGGAAGUCUUCUCGGCGUCCAAUUUGGUGGUGGCAGGGGCGGUGCUGGGCGAGCCCUCGCCGGACAUCGCACUCCAUGGCAGAAUCUGUGCCACCAUGUGCCGUGAAUCAUGCUGCUGCGCACCGUGGGCAGCCAUGCCUGUGCUUCGUGUCAUGGUGAGACUUCCUUCCCUGGAUUCGCAUUCUUCUCCUCUGCGCGUAGAACCUUUCGAAUCGUGACUUGGGGACGCCAGGGCCUCGGGCCAUCUACUCGCCGGUGAACUACCGCUGUGGGGGUUUGGCGGCGCCACCUGUGCCGGCCAGAGGUAGAAGGUAAGUGUUGUGGCCGUCGAUCGGAUAUUCUGCGACUGCGAUUAGAUCCGGGUCCCUUCUCGCGUGGUCGAUCUCUGCCCUCCAUCAGAAAUCGGUCGGCGGAGAGCGUGUCUUCACCGUGUUUGGAUCUGAACCGUAGUUGGCUAAUCAUAGGGCUGUAGCGUGGUCAGUGGAGUGCAUUGAUCUUGCCCGCUGACCAUCGAUCGGGCGGUUACGGGUGAACACCGGCUCAGGAUGAAGACACGAUCUAAUCACCGCCGUUGGUGAGCAAUCGGGCGGCUAGGAUUUAACCAUACCCUUUCGGCCUUGACAAGUUGCUAAAGAGCCCUCGUAGAAUCAGGGAUUCAACCCGCCGUCCUAGCAUUGGUAGGCUGAGUCUUAGGAUAAUUUGCGCUGAGACCCCUGUCCUUCCCCAAAAUUGGCGCACAGUCCAAGGAAAUAGAAAAACAGAGAAUUUGAUUUAUAAAAUGAAUUUAUUAUAUAAAAACAAUUCAGAAUCUUGUUAAAUCCAUAGAAAAAUUAAUAUUAAGUUCAAAUUAGUUCAUUUCAAUUUCUAUAAUUCUAUAAUAUUAUUGUUUAUCAAUUAGUGCCACUGAUUUGACAUGAAAGUCACUUUAAAAUUUAUUUCUUAAUUAAUCUCGGAUCAAAUACACAAAACCUUAGAAAAUUCAUAUCUCCUCCGUUUUAAAUCUGAUUUGACUCGUUCCAGUUGCGAUAGCUUCAUAUAAAUAUCUACUACACAAUAGCAACAUUUAUUAUAUAAUAUCUCAUACUUUUAUAAUUGGGUUAAUCUAUGUCUCUUGGACUAACUUCUUUAAUAUUCUAACUUUAUGGCUAUAAUUUAACCAGAUAAUCUUUGAUCAAAUAAUGACUUAGAUUAAAGUGGAGAUAGUUAUUUAUAGAAUAAUCUCUUAUAUGAUUUAUAUUAACCAAAUUAUAAUAUAGUUUAAUAUUUUAGUCACAUAAAUCAUCUAUAAAAUCAUAACUCCUUAACUUUGACUCCGAUCUUAGUAGCUCUCGAUCCCACGAUCUCGUAGCUUCGCGUAGAUCAUUAUUAUGCAGUAUGUUCUUAUGUGUUGGUGUGAUGUUAAUUUUGUCUAUACCAUGUAUGUUUGUAUUGCUACGACUAGCAGUGCGGUCACGGGGAUCUGAAGAAUCACCCUGGUAACUGGAAUCUCAAGUGCCAGGCAAGUUGUGCCCUUGAUCACUUCUUUUUACCCACUCAUGUUCUAAUUAAUCAAAAUGAUCUGCAUAGGUUAAUUUUGAUGGGACCCAAUAGGUUACCCUAGUUUGUUUAUCCUGUUUACCUUGUUUACCCCUGAAUCAAUUGGGUAGUUAUGCUAUUGCUUUAUAUGGUUUUCGGGUUAAUAUUUCAUUACAUCCAUGUUCCAAUUAUUCUGUUAUGUUAUUUAUGUUCAUGAUAAGAUCAUUAUGUUAAUUGGAACAUGGAGCGACCACCCGGGAAAACAGUGCUACCACAAGGGUUUAAUGGGACGCCCUUGGCUGAUUAACUAGAAAAGCUAGUGGAGGUAUUCCUUACCCGAAAGGGGCAAGGGCAGUAGGGGAGUGGUCAGUGUAGGGAGGUCCUUGGGUUGACUUUGCUGCGAUGGCGGUAAGACAAGAACCCUGCAUUGGAGCUUCCUAUAAACUGUAGCGGGAUUUCUGAAGCUAGUGGAACUUUGUAAAGGCCUCGUAGUGUUACCCUUGCCUCGCUUCCUUGGUAGAGGUGUAUGGGACUCAUGACCCCUUGGCAGAUGGGUAACACGGCUUGUGGGUAAAGAUGCGCAACCUCUGCAGAGUGUAAAACUAGUAUACUAGCCGUGCUCACGGUCAUGAGCGGCUCGGACCCUCACAUGAUUAAUUUAUGGAACCUAAAUUCAAUUUGUCAUUUGCAUUUGCAUGGGAUUUGUUAUUAAUUUUGUUCCAUUAUUUAUUAUGGUUUGGUAUUUACUUACACCUAGUAAUUGCUAAUAAAAUUUUGACCAACAUUAAAAGCAAUGCUCAGCUUUAACCAUUCUCUUUGAUAAGCCUUACACUUCACAUGAACUCCCACCUUUUGUGAGUUCAUGUCACAUUAUUCCCCACAACUUGUUGAGCGAUGAACGUAUGUGAGCUCACUCUUGCUGUGUCACACCCCCCCACAGGAGAAGAACAGGUGGUUCAAGAGGAGCCGCAUAUCGAGGAGUUCGAUUCGAUCUAGGUGGCGUCUCCCAGUUGACUUUCUGGCGCCUAGGAUAGAUUUUAGAUCCUGUUAUAUUUAUCUUUUAUUUUUGUAAGUCUUCCGCUAUGUAUUAAGUACUCUGAUUAUUGUGACAUUUAUCUCUAUACACUCUGUGAUUAUAUAUGUUGUCUUCUUUGGCGC
rnacentral:lncRNA from 1 species